GAUGUGCAUACAGCAAACAAAAACAACGUUUUGUUUCUUGAAAAAGACCCUCAGGGGUCGAAACAUCGACCCCUGAGGGUCUUUUUCAAGAAACAAAACGUUGUUUUUGUUUGCUGUAUGCACAUC